GACGAACGCUGGCGGCGUGCUUAACACAUGCAAGUCGAGCGGUAAGGCCCUUUCGGGGGUACACGAGCGGCGAACGGGUGAGUAACACGUGGGUGACCUGCCCUUAGCUCUGGGAUAAGCCUGGGAAACUGGGUCUAAUACCGGAUAUGACUCCAUGACGCAUGUUGUGGGGUGGAAAGCCUUGUGCGGCUAGGGAUGGGCCUGCGGCCUAUCAGCUUGUUGGUGGGGUGAUGGCCUACCAAGGCGACGACGGGUAGCCGGCCUGAGAGGGCGACCGGCCACACUGGGACUGAGACACGGCCCAGACUCCUACGGGAGGCAGCAGUGGGGAAUCUUGCGCAAUGGGCGAAAGCCUGACGCAGCGACGCCGCGUGGGGAUGAC
rnacentral:rRNA from 1 species